AGCGAACGCUGGCGGCAGGCCUAACACAUGCAAGUCGAACGAACUCUUCGGAGUUAGUGGCGGACGGGUGAGUAACACGUGGGAACGUGCCUUUAGGUUCGGAAUAACUCAGGGAAACUUGUGCUAAUACCGAAUGUGCCCUUCGGGGGAAAGAUUUAUCGCCUUUAGAGCGGCCCGCGUCUGAUUAGCUAGUUGGUGAGGUAAAGGCUCACCAAGGCGACGAUCAGUGGCUGGUCUGAGAGGAUGAUCAGCCACAUUGGGACUGAGACACGGCCCAAACUCCUACGGGAGGCAGCAGUGGGGAAUCUUGCGCAAUGGGCGAAAGCCUGACGCAGCCAUGCCGCGUGAAUGAUGAAGGUCUUAGGAUUGUAAAAUUCUUUCACCGGGGACGAUAAUGACGGUACCCGGAGAAGAAGCCCCGGCUAACUUCGUG
rnacentral:rRNA from 1 species